UACGGAGGGGGCGAGCGUUAUUCGGAAUUAUUGGGCGUAAAGGGCGCGUAGGCGGCCCGGUAAGUCAAAGGUGAAAUCCCUCGGCUCAACUGAGGAACUGCCUUUGAAACUGUCGGGCUUGAGGCCGGGAGGGGGUAGCGGAAUUCCCAGUGUAGCGGUGAAAUGCGUAGAGAUCGGGAGGAACACCAGAGGCGAAGGCGGCUAGCUGGACAGUGACUGACACUCAACUGCGAAAGCGUGGGGAGCAAACAGG
rnacentral:rRNA from 1 species